ACCGGCACGGGACGCACAGAUCCCCGGACCGCACGACGGUCGCCUUGGCGGUGCAAGCCGCCGAGUCCGGGAGGAGCGAGUGGCGAGACCGACCCGACCGAC
ncrna:unclassified sequences c-di-GMP-II-GAG riboswitch